rnacentral:rRNA from 1 species
AUUGAACGCUGGCGGCAGGCCUAACGCAUGCAAGUCGAGCGAGCGGCGGGCGGGUGAGUAAUGUCUGGGAAACUGCCUGAUGGAGGGGGAUAACUCCUGGAAACGGUAGCUAAUACCGCAUACCAUCAGAUGUGCCCAGAUGGGAUUAGCUAGUCGGUGGGGUAACGGCUCACCUAGGCGACGAUCCAUAGCCGGUCUGAGAGGAUGACCAGCCACACUGGAACUGAGACACGGUCCAGACUCCUACGGGAGGCAGCAGUGGGGAAUAUUGCACAAUGGGCGAAAGCCUGAUGCAGCAAUGCCGCGUGUGUGAAGAAGGCUUUCGGGUUGUAAAGCACUUUUGGCAGGGAGGCGUUACCCGAAGAAGAAGCAACGGCUAACUACGUGCCAGCAGCCGCGGUAAUAC